UACGGGGGGGGGUAAGCGUUGUUUCGGAAUUACUGGGCGUAAAGGGCUCGUAGGCGGCCAACUAAGUCGGACGUGAAAUCCCUCGGCUUAACCUGGGAACUGCGUCUGAUACUGGAGGGCUUGAGUGCGGGAGAGGGAUGUGGAAUUCCAGGUGUAGCGGUGAAAUGCGUAGAUAUCUGGAGGAACACCGGUGGCGAAGGCGGCAUCCUGGACCGGCAUUGACGCUGAGGAGCGAAAGCCAGGGGAGCAAACGGG
rnacentral:rRNA from 1 species